rnacentral:rRNA from 1 species
UUUAUGGAGAGUUUGAUCCUGGCUCAGAGUGAACGCUGGCGGCGUGCCUAAUACAUGCAAGUCGAACGAUGAAGCUUCUAGCUUGCUAGAAGCGGAUUAGUGGCGCACGGGUGAGUAACGCAUAGGUCAUGUGCCUCUUAGUUUGGGAUAGCCAUUGGAAACGAUGAUUAAUACCAGAUACUCCCUACGGGGGAAAGAUUUAUCGCUAAGAGAUCAGCCUAUGUCCUAUCAGCUUGUUGGUAAGGUAAUGGCUUACCAAGGCUAUGACGGGUAUCCGGCCUGAGAGGGUGAACGGACACACUGGAACUGAGACACGGUCCAGACUCCUACGGGAGGCAGCAGUAGGGAAUAUUGCUCAAUGGGGGAAACCCUGAAGCAGCAACGCCGCGUGGAGGAUGAAGGUUUUAGGAUUGUAAACUCCUUUUGUUAGAGAAGAUAAUGACGGUAUCUAACGAAUAAGCACCGGCUAACUCCGUGCCAGCAGCCGCGGUAAUACGGAGGGUGCAAGCGUUACUCGGAAUCACUGGGCGUAAAGAGCGCGUAGGCGGGAUAGUCAGUCAGGUGUGAAAUCCUAUGGCUUAACCAUAGAACUGCAUUUGAAACUACUAUUCUAGAGUGUGGGAGAGGUAGGUGGAAUUCUUGGUGUAGGGGUAAAAUCCGUAGAGAUCAAGAGGAAUACUCAUUGCGAAGGCGACCUGCUGGAACAUUACUGACGCUGAUUGCGCGAAAGCGUGGGGAGCAAACAGGAUUAGAUACCCUGGUAGUCCACGCCCUAAACGAUGGAUGCUAGUUGUUGGAGGGCUUAGUCUCUCCAGUAAUGCAGCUAACGCAUUAAGCAUCCCGCCUGGGGAGUACGGUCGCAAGAUUAAAACUCAAAGGAAUAGACGGGGACCCGCACAAGCGGUGGAGCAUGUGGUUUAAUUCGAAGAUACACGAAGAACCUUACCUAGGCUUGACAUUGAGAGAAUCCGCUAGAAAUAGUGGAGUGUCUAGCUUGCUAGACCUUGAAAACAGGUGCUGCACGGCUGUCGUCAGCUCGUGUCGUGAGAUGUUGGGUUAAGUCCCGCAACGAGCGCAACCCCCUUUCUUAGUUGCUAACAGGUCAUGCUGAGAACUCUAAGGAUACUGCCUCCGUAAGGAGGAGGAAGGUGGGGACGACGUCAAGUCAUCAUGGCCCUUACGCCUAGGGCUACACACGUGCUACAAUGGGGUGCACAAAGAGAAGCAAUACUGCGAAGUGGAGCCAAUCUUCAAAACGCCUCUCAGUUCGGAUUGUAGGCUGCAACUCGCCUGCAUGAAGCUGGAAUCGCUAGUAAUCGCAAAUCAGCCAUGUUGCGGUGAAUACGUUCCCGGGUCUUGUACUCACCGCCCGUCACACCAUGGGAGUUGUGUUUGCCUUAAGUCAGGAUGCUAAACUAGCUACUGCCCACGGCACACACAGCGACUGGGGUGAAGUCGUAACAAGGUAACCGUAGGUGAACCUGCGGUUGGAUCACCUCCUUUCUAGA